GGAGGUCGCCACUGCUCCCGUCGACACAAUUCCUUCUCGGCAUCGAACUGCGCGACGACAACUGCGCAGAGAGACCCGGAAACAGGCUCCAUCUGCAGAAAGAACGUGUAUUCUUUCGUCCGUCUUCACAAUUGUGUUGGUGUUGCUCCAUGUGAUGAGUUUACAAAGGCCUUUUGAAAAACUAGACAUAUUACAUCUACGACAUUAUUCUUGCCUACUCCCUCUGUUACUUCUGCAAAGAAUUCAAUAAGUAAGGAUUCCAUUAUUUUUCCUACUACUGAUGUUAAGCUGACUAGCCUAUUGCGUGAAGAAUCCGUUUUGAAAAGUCUGAAGGACAUUGAAUUAUGGACAUUCUCCCUCCUGAGUUAUUUUUAAAAGACUGUGAGAUUAAUUUGGUGCUGUGAAAAUGACAUUCUUCAAUAAAUCAUAGGUCAAGAUACAUGUCCAAUGGGGAACUCCUGGAGAGGAAAGAGAUACUUUGUAUAUCUACGUUAAAACUGCUGUUGCCAGGCUAAAGACUCUUGCUGAUUGGUUAAAAACACCCUGCCUAAGAGAAGUAUUCUUUGAACAUUUUAGACUCUCAGUCAGAGAUGCAGGCUGCAAGAAAAAGACUCUCUCUUUCCCUCUCUCUGCCUCACCUUUGUGUUCAACCUUCGUCAGAAACAUCUCAGAUGAGUCUGUUUUAUUUUGAAAGUCUGCAAAGUUGUGAUAAGUAAGUCAUCAAAGACCGUUUCACCAAAAAAGCUGCCUGAAAGAAGUUCCAUAUCUAUUGUGACAAGAAUUCUGUUAGAUCAACAGCAUCGAGAUCUCUUCAAAUUUUACCUUUUUAAAAGAAAUGUUCCCAUGCUCCAGUCUCUGCAGGGGACUGUGUUUGUUUUGUCCUGUUUUGUGUUUGUGUGUGAGUGUAUGGGGGUUUGAAUAUCUUUUUUAAAAGGGGAAAAUCGUUACACUUCUCACCUACAACCUGUAUUUUAACCAGUUUAUUAGCUUGGUUUUUUAAAAAGUAAUCAACAAGGGAUGCUACCCCAAUUGCCUUUGAAUGUCCCCAUCUGGAAACUGAUGAAAAAGCUAUAUUGUUCAGAUUAGCUUGACUGUGAUAUCUUCCAUAGUCAAAUAGCCUAGAGGCUUUGUCUUUGUUACAAUCUUUGUUACAAACUUUUCUUGUUACAUUUUCACUUGUAUUUUCUUCUGUUUGUUCACAGGGAGCCAAGAGGACAAAAUACAUGUCAUAUUAUCUGAAAAUAGUGUAUCCAGCCUCUGUGACGUGUACCAGUACAGCUCAGCAAUUUUACUUAUGGCUCAGCUGAUAAAGCUGGUGAUAAUGUGAGGCAAACAGCCAACAUGUUAGGUUAAAUGCAAUUUCUGUGUUGAUUUACUGGUCUUAGCUGGUUGGCAGCAGGGAUGCUACAAUUGGUCUCUAUCCUGGACUGGGCAGAAUAUAAUCCACGUAAAGAAUGUACACUUCAGUGAAGUAUCAAAGGCUGUUAGUGUGCAUGGAAUCAUAUUUAAGCAGGCGCCGACACCAACAUUAAGCUGAGAAAAUUGGCAAAACUCAUUUUCCAUCUGGGGAGAGGAGGUGAUAUUUGCCUAUAGAAACUCCCUUUAUGCUGUUAGCUUGCACACAGAAUUGUUUGAAGAAUCCCAAAUAGUGACAGAACUGUAAUGCCUUCAUUAUUAUCUCACAAGGGACACUUGAAGCAGAGUGGAGCGAGGUGCAGCUACCCUAUUGCAGCUGGAUUCCAUUCCCCAGGUAGAAUGUAAUACAAUACAUUAAUGCCCUUUCUACAAGAUACCUGAAAGAGGAGUAACAGUUACUUCAUUGUGUAUCAUUUUCCCAAUUAAUACAAAAAUUAAACAUUUCACAGAAGUUUACUCAGAAAUUUGAGAAAAAAUCUUCUUUAAAGUAACUAUAGCCAAAAGGAAGUUCAGACUUUUCUUACCUCAGUUGCAUUCCAAGAAUAAAAAAGCAACAUGAAUGCUACUUCUUUAAAGACAUAUUCAAGAUAAAUAGGAGAGGGAAUGAUGUCAUGGCAUCGUUUAUGUGUUUUCCUAUUGUCCGUGAUCAAGGUAUUUUUAUGUGUGAGGUUAGCGUGUUUUCUUAGCCUCUGAGUGCUGUGUCCCAAUUUAAAUAUUUUCCAGCAGCAAGCUUUUGUGAAUUAAAAAAAGGAUUAUUUAUUAUCA